rnacentral:rRNA from 1 species
AGCGAACGCUGGCGGCAGGCCUAACGCAUGCAAGUCGAACGAUCCUUCGGGAUAGUGGCGGACGGGUGAGUAACACGUGGGAACGUGCCCUUUGGUUCGGAACAACUCAGGGAAACUUGAGCUAAUACCGGAUGUGCCCUUCGGGGGAAAGAUUUAUCGCCAUUGGAGCGGCCCGCGUCUGAUUAGCUAGUUGGUGAGGUAACGGCUCACCAAGGCGACGAUCAGUAGCUGGUCUGAGAGGAUGAUCAGCCACACUGGGACUGAGACACGGCCCAGACUCCUACGGGAGGCAGCAGUGGGGAAUCUUGCGCAAUGGGCGAAAGCCUGACGCAGCCAUGCCGCGUGAAUGAUGAAGGUCUUAGGAUUGUAAAAUUCUUUCACCGGGGACGAUAAUGACGGUACCCGGAGAAGAAGCCCCGGCUAACUUCGUGCCAGCCGCCGCCGUAACAC